rnacentral:rRNA from 1 species
GCUGGCGGCGUGCGUAAUGCAUGCAAGUCGCACGGCCUGUCUUCGGGCAGGCAGUGGCGAACGGCUGAGUACCACGUACGAACCUACCCGCUCGUGGGGAAUAACGCACCGAAAGGUGUGCUAAUACCGCGUACGCUCAUCAGUGAUGGUGAGGAAAGCACCUUCGGGUGUGCGGGCGGCGGGGCGUGCGUCCCAUCAGGUGGUUGGCGGGGUAAUGGCCCACCAAGCCGGUGACGGGUCGCUGGUCUGUGAGGACGAUCAGCCAGACUGGGACUGCGANNCGGCCCAGACNCCUACGGGUGGCAGCAGCAAGGAAAGUUCGGCACUGGGCGCAAGCUUGNCCGAGCAACGCCGCGUGGAGGACGACGGCCUUCGGGUUGUAAACUCCUUUCGGGGGGGACGAAACGGACGGUACCUUCAGAAGCAGCCCCGGCUAACUCUGUGCCAGCAGCCGCGGUAAGACAGAGGGGGCAAGCGUUGUCCGGAUUGACUGGGCGUACAGGGCGCGUAGGCGGGACGCGACGUGCCGGGUGACAGGCGCAGGCUCAACCUGCGUUGGACUUGGUAGACGCGCGACCUGGAGGCCGAGAGAGGGAUGUGGAAUACCCGGUGGAGCGGUGAAAUGCGUAGAGAUCGGGUGGAACACCAGGGGCGAAGGCGGCAUCCUGGNUCGGUGCUGACGCUGAGGCGCGAGAGCGUGGGGAGCGAACUGGAUUAGAUACCCAGGUAGUCCACGCCGUAAACGAUGUGGACCCGGCGCUGGGGGGUGAUUGCGCCCUUCGGUGCCCCAACUUACGUGAUGAGUCCACCGCCUGGGGAGUACGGCCGCAAGGCUAAAACUCAAAGGAAUUGACNNGGGGCCCGCACAAGCAGCGGACCGUGUGGUUUAAUUCGACGCAACACGCAGAACCUUACCUAGGCUUGACAUGCAGCUGCACGCCGGGGAAACCCGGUUCCUUCGAGGGUGCUGCACCGGUGCUGCAUGGCUGUCGUCAGCUCGUGUCGUGAGAUGUUGGGUUAAGUCCCGCAACGGGCGCAACCCUUGCCCCGUGUUACCAGUGUCACGGGGGACUGCCGUGGUGUUACCACGGAGGAAGGCGGGGAUGACGUCAAGUCCGCAUGGCCCCGACGCUUAGGGCGACACACACGCUACAAUGGCCGGAGGAGUGCGUUU